rnacentral:rRNA from 1 species
UGGGUGGAGAGUGGCGCACGGGUGCGUAACACGUAGCUCACCUGCCCUCAAGACGGGAAUAACGGUUGGAAACAACCGCUAAUACCCGAUAAGCUCCCGCGCUGUAGAGGCGUGCGAGAAAAGGUUACGGCGCUUGAGGAUGGGGCUGCGGUCCAUCAGCUAGAUGGUGAGGUAACAGCUCACCAUGGCAACGACGGAUAGGGGACCUGAGAGGGUGACCCCCCACACUGGCACUGAGACACGGGCCAGACUCCUACGGGAGGCAGCAGUGAGGAAUAUUGCACAAUGGGCGCAAGCCCUGACGGAGCGACGCCGCGUGGGCGAUGAAGGUCUUCGGAUCGUAAAGCCCUUUUCUGCGUGACGAGAACGGACGGUAGCGCAGGAAUAAGUCUCGGCUAACUACGUGCCAGCAGCCGCGGUAAAACGUAGGAGGCGAGCGUUAUCCGGAGUUACUGGGCGUAAAGCGCGUGUAGGCGGCACAGAGGGUCUGAUGUGAAAGCUCCCAGGCUAAACCGGGAGAGGUCAUUGGAAACCGCUGUGCUAGAGGGUGAUAGAGGGGCGUGGAAUUCCGGGUGUAGUGGUGAAAUGCGUAAGAGAUCCGGAGGAACACCAGUGGCGAAAGGCGGCCCCUGGGUCACACCUGACGCUGA